GAUGAACGCUGGCGGCGUGCUUAACACAUGCAAGUCGAACGGAAAGGCUCCUGCUUGCAGGGGUACUCGAGUGGCGAACGGGUGAGUAACACGUGGGUGAUCUGCCCUGCACUUCGGGAUAAGCCUGGGAAACUGGGUCUAAUACCGGAUAGGACGAUGGUUUGGAUGCCAUUGUGGAAAGUUUUUCGGUGUGGGAUGAGCUCGCGGCCUAUCAGCUUGUUGGUGGGGUAAUGGCCUACCAAGGCGUCGACGGGUAGCCGGCCUGAGAGGGUGUACGGCCACAUUGGGACUGAGAUACGGCCCAGACACCUACGGGAGGCAGCAGUGGGGAAUAUUGCACAAUGGGCGCAAGCCUGAUGCAGCGACGCCGCGUGGGGGAUGACGGCCUUCGGGUUGUAAACUCCUUUCGCUAGGGACGAAGCGUUUUGUGACGGUACCUGGAGAAGAAGCACCGGCUAACUACGUG
rnacentral:rRNA from 1 species